CAUGGGGGGCCACAUCCCCCAUUCAUCGGCCAGGUAGUUUCCAGACGCGACCGCUCUUCGCGGCAGAGUUCUGCGCCGCGGACCUGGGCCGGCCUACCUGGCUGGUGGCUCGCGCUGUCUCUUCCGAACGAGCCGGCCUCAGUUUCCCCUGAAGAGACCGGGGGAACUUGCAACCUCAGUCACUUCCGGUGCCGCGGCAGCGCGCGCGAGCCCGAGACGCAAGGGGAGUGCGCGCCUUUAAGUACUGGCGUCAAGACCUUGGCGAGAGCGCCCCCUUGCGGUAGAGCUGGGGAAUCCGGAGACAAAAAAGGAUAAACGUUUACAUUCACGUUUCCAUUCAUUCAUUCAUUUAGCCAGUUUCAUCCACUGGUUAGUUUAUAUGUCGAAAAAGCAUCGCGUCGUGGCAAGAAUCUUGUGUCUGGGAUUCCAACCUUGCUAACUGGGAAAGUUACUCAACCGCUGUGUCUCGAUUAUCCUUAACCGUAAUGUAUAAUUUUUGUAAUCUAACAACUUUUUUUGGCUGUGCCCACAGCAUAUCCAGCCACUGGAUCUGAACCACAUCUGCCACCUAUGCCUCAGCUUGUGACCGAUUGAGAAAAGUGACACAAACAUUGGGAAAAACCUGCUCUUCUAAACGAAGAGGGGUGGAAAAUGUCACACGUUACAACCUCUUAUUCCUAUGAUGCACCAAUGGACUUUAUCAAUUUUACAUCUUUGGAUGAUGAGGAAGAUACCCAAAACAUAGAUUCCUGGUUUGAGGAGAAGGCCAAUCUGGAGAAUAAAUUUCCUGGAAAGAAUGGUACAGGAGGGCUUUUUCAGGACAAAACUCCUCUGAGAAAGGCUAAUCUUCAGCAAGAUUUCACACCUUUGAGACCAGUUGACAACACAUAUAACAAAGAGGCAGAAAAAGAAAAUCUGGUGGACGAGUCCAUUUCAUCAAAUACUUAUUCUUCCAUAAAAAUUAAAGAAACCACAUCAAGAAAUAUUCCAGCUCAGCCUCAGAGAAGAUCUCUUAGACUCUCUGCUCAGAAGAAUUUGGUACAGAAAGAAAAACAUCAUGUAAAAAUGAAAGCCAAGAGAUGUGCUACUCCUGUAAUUAUCAAUGAAAUUCCACCCUCCAAAAAAAUGAAAGUUUCUAACAAUAAAAUGAAGCCAGAGGAAGAGGAAGAAGGCAGUGCUCAUCAAGAUAUUUCUGAAAAGAAUGAGUGUUCCCCAGAGAAAGCCAAGGGCAGACGCACUGGGCCUUGUAUCCCACCUAUAAGGCAGAAGGUUCUAAAAAGUACUGAGGAGCAAGAAUUGGAGAAGAGAAUGAAAAUGCAGCAAGAAGUGAUAGAGAUGCGGAAAAAGAAUGAAGAAUUCAAGAAAUUUGCUCUUGCAGGAGCAGGGCUCCCUGUGAAGAAAUCAGUGACCCAGGUAACCAAAUCAGUUGACUUCCACUUCCGCACAGAUGAGCGAAUCAAACAACAUCCUAAGAACCAGGAGGAGUAUAAGGAAGUGAACUUUACAUCGGAACUGCGAAAGCAUCCUCCCUCUCCUGCUCGAGUGUCAAAGGGAUGCACCAUUGUUAUGCCUUUCAACCUGUCCAAAGGAAAGAAAAGAACAUUUGAUGAGACAGCUUCUACAUAUGUUCCCCUUGCACAGCAGGUCGAAGCCUUUCAUAAGCGAACCCCUAACAGAUACCACUUGAGGAGCAAGAAGGAUGAUAGUACUCUGCUACCCUCCAAAUCUGUGGCCAAGAUAUGCAGAGACCCACAGACUCCUGUGCUACAAACCAAACAUCGUGCAAGGCCUGUGACCUGCAAAAGUACAGCGGAUCAGGAGGCCGAGGAGCUUGAGAAACUGCAGCAAUACAAAUUCAAAGCACAGGAACUUGAUCCCAGAAUUCUUGAAGGUGGGCCCAUCUUGCCCAAGAAACCACCUGUGAAGCCACCCACUCAGCCUAUUGGCUUUGAUUUGGAAAUUGAGAAAAGGAUCCAGGAGCGAGAGUCAAAGAAGAAAUCUGAGGAUGAACACUUUGAAUUUCAUUCCAGGCCUUGCCCUACUAAGAUCUUGGAAGAUGUUGUGGGUGUUCCUGAAAAGAAAGUACUUCCAGUCACUGUCCCCAAGUCACCAGCCUUUACUCUGAAGAACAGAAUCCGAAUGCCCUCCAAAGAAGAUGAGGAAGAGGAGGAGCCAGUAGUGAUAAGAGCUCAACCUGUGCCAUAUUUUGGAAUGCCUUUUAAGCCCCAAAUUCCAGUGGGGAGAACUGUGGAAAUAUGCCCCUUCUCUUUUGAUUCUCGAGACAAAAAACGUCAGUUACAGAAGGAGAAGAAAAUAAAAGAACUGCAGAAAGGGGAGGUGCCUAAGUUCAAGGCACUACCUUUGCCUCAUUUUGACACCGUUAACCUGCCAGAGAAGAAGGUGAAGAAUACAACCCAGGUUGAGCCUUUCUGCUUGGAGACUGACAGAAGAGGUGCUCUGAAGGCACAAACUUGGAAGCACCAGCUGGAGGAAGAACUAAAACAGCAGAAAGAAGCAGCUUGCUUCAAGGCUCGUCCAAACACCGUCAUCUCCCAGGAGCCCUUCGUUCCUAAGAUAGAGAAAAAAUCCCUUACUGUCCAGGAAACUUUUCAGCUGGCCACUGAGAAGAGAGCCAGGGAGCGGCAGGAGCUGGAGAAGAGAAUGGCUGAGGUGGAAGCCCAGAAAGCUCAGCAGCUGGAGGAGGCCAGGCAACAGGAAGAGGAGCAGCAGAGGCAGGAACUGGCCAGGCUACGGAAAGAAUUGGUGCACAAGGCAAAUCCAAUACGCAAGUACCAGAGUGUGGAGGUCAAGUCAAGUGACCAGCCACUGACCAUGCCUGUAUCGCCCAAGUUUUCCACUCGAUUCCACUGCUGAACUUAGCUGCGAGCUGAUGCCACUUGGGAACCGGAGCUGCUCCUUCCAUCAAACCAGGAGGCUUCUUUGUCACGGGGGCAUGGAGAGAACCCAUUUCUCCAGGCUUUUCCCUACCCAUGACCCACAGAGUAUGCCGGACAAGUGUGGACUCCAGUUUCAUUGAAACUUGUUUUUCCUGUGUUAUUGUGGCUAAUAGUGAGACUCACCUUAUGUAUGUCUCAGCCGGACUCCGUGUAGUCAUUUCCUUUCAACCGUCAGUUGCCCUUUAAUAUGGGUCUUAACUCUGACUAGAAUUUAAAGCCCUUGCAUUAGUACAGUGUAAUUUCUAUUGCCCUUGCCCCUCCCCCCUUUCCUAUUUUAAUCAGAAAAUAAAGAUAGUUAAAUAC
rnacentral:lncRNA from 1 species